ACGAACGCUGGCGGCGUGCCUAAUACAUGCAAGUCGAGCGGAAUGAUGAAGAAGCUUGCUUCUUCUGAUUUUAGCGGCGGACGGGUGAGUAACACAUGGGCAACCUACCUUGUAGAUUGGGAUAACUCCGGGAAACCGGGGCUAAUACCGAAUAAUCCAUUUUGCUUCAUGGCGAGAUGUUGAAAGACGGUUUCGGCUGUCACUACAAGAUGGGCCCGCGGCGCAUUAGCUAGUUGGUAGGGUAAUGGCCUACCAAGGCGACGAUGCGUAGCCGACCUGAGAGGGUGAUCGGCCACACUGGGACUGAGACACGGCCCAGACUCCUACGGGAGGCAGCAGUAGGGAAUCUUCCACAAUGGACGAAAGUCUGAUGGAGCAACGCCGCGUGAGUGAAGAAGGUUUUCGGAUCGUAAAACUCUGUUGUAAGGGAAGAACACGUACGAGAGUAACUGCUCGUACCUUGACGGUACCUUAUUAGAAAGCCACGGCUAACUACGUG
rnacentral:rRNA from 1 species